UUGAUUAAAACCAAAGAGAGGUAUAUCACUGUUAAUGAUAAAAUUGAAGUCACCACUUCUAAUCAAG
rnacentral:tRNA from 1 species